UGACAAAUUCUAUUACAAAAU
rnacentral:piRNA from 1 species